rnacentral:rRNA from 1 species
AGAGUUUGAUCAUGGCUCAGAACGAACGCUGGCGGCAUGCCUAACACAUGCAAGUCGAACGAUGCUUUCGGGCAUAGUGGCGCACGGGUGCGUAACGCGUGGGAAUCUGCCCUUGGGUUCGGAAUAACAGUUGGAAACGACUGCUAAUACCGGAUGACGUCGAUAAGACCAAAGAUUUAUCGCCUGAGGAUGAGCCCGCGUAAGAUUAGGUAGUUGGUGGGGUAAAGGCCUACCAAGCCGACGAUCUUUAGCUGGUCUGAGAGGAUGAUCAGCCACACUGGGACUGAGACACGGCCCAGACUCCUACGGGAGGCAGCAGUGGGGAAUAUUGGACAAUGGGCGAAAGCCUGAUCCAGCAAUGCCGCGUGAGUGAUGAAGGCCUUAGGGUUGUAAAGCUCUUUUACCCGGGAUGAUAAUGACAGUACCGGGAGAAUAAGCCCCGGCUAACUCCGUGCCAGCAGCCGCGGUAAU